AGAUUUGUUGAUUGAUAUAAAUUUGUUAUUUAUUUAGAUGGAUUUAAUUCAUAUGUACUUAUAUUAUGGAUCCGACAAUUAUAACUUUUCAAUGUUUAAAAUAUUUGACUUUCAUCUUAUUUGACUUUGAAGCCAUGCAAAUCGAGUGUUUGUGAUUGGUUGAGAAUAUAAAAAGUUUUAUAUCGUUAGUAUAUAAAAAUUAUUCUUUUUAUAAAUUGUAUUUGUCGAAAUAUUGACAUUUGUCGAAAUAUUAAUCUAAUCAUUGAUGAAAUAUAGGAAAAGUCUCCAAUAUUUUGUUGAAUAUGGACAGAGACAACAAGAGGAGAUUCGGCGACGAGAGGAAGAGAUGAAAGCACUUCACCUUCAAUUUGCUGAAUAUGGACAUCAACAACAAGAGGAGCUUCGGCGACGAGGGGAAGAGAUCCAAGUACUUCACCUUCGAUUUGCUGAAUAUGGAGAAAAACAACAAGAGGAGCUUCGGCGACGAGAGGAAGAGAUCAAAGCACUUCACCUUCGAUUUGCUGAAUAUGGAGAUAAACAACAAGAGGCGCUUCUGCGACGAGAGGAAGAGAUCCAAGGACUUCACCUUCGAUUUGCUGAAUAUGGAGAUAAACAACAAGAGGCGCUUCUGCGACGAGAGGAAGAGAUCCAAGGACUUCACCUUCGAUUUGCUGAAUAUGGAGAUAAACAACAAGAGGCGCUUCUGCGACGAGAGGAAGAGAUCGAAGCGCUUCACCUUCGAUUUGCUGAAUAUGGACAUAUACAUCAAGAGGCGCUUCUGCGACGAGAGGAAGAGAUCGAAGCGCUUCACCUUCGAUUUGCUGAAUAUGGACAUAAACAUCAAGAGGCGCUUCUGCGACGAGAGGAAGAGAUCGAAGGACUUCACCUUCAAUUUGCUGAAUAUGGACAUAAACAAGAAGAGGAGCGUCGGCGACGAGAGGAAGAGAUCAAAGCAUUUCACCUUCAAUUUGCUGAAUAUGGACAUAAACAACAAGAGGCGCUUCUGCGACGAGAGGAAGAGAUCGAAGCGCUUCACCUUCGAUUUGCUGAAUAUGGACAUAAACAAGAAGAGGAGCGUCGGCGACGAGAGGAAGAGAUCAAAGCAUUUCACCUUCAAUUUGCUGAAUAUGGACAUAAACAACAAGAGGCGCUUCUGCGACGAGAGGAAGAGAUCGAAGGACUUCACCUUCGAUUUGCUGAAUAUGGACAUAAACAUCAAGAGGCGCUUCUGCGACGAGAGGAAGAGAUCCAAGGACUUCACCUUCGAUUUGCUGAAUAUGGACAUAAACAAGAAGAGGAGCGUCGGCGACGAGAGGAAGAGAUCAAAGCACUUCACCUUCAAUUUGCUGAAUAUGGACAUAAACAACAAGAGGCGCUUCUGCGACGAGAGGAAGAGAUCGAAGGACUUCACCUUCGAUUUGCUGAAUAUGGACAUAAACAUCAAGAGGCGCUUCUGCGACGAGAGGAAGAGAUCCAAGGACUUCACCUUCGAUUUGCUGAAUAUGGACAAAAACAAGAAGAGGAGCGUCGGCGACGAGAGGAAGAGAUCAAAGCACUUCACCUUCAAUUUGCUGAAUAUGGACAUAAACAACAAGAGGAGCAUCGGCGACGAGAGGAAGAGAUCCAAGGACUUCACCUUCAAUUUGCUGAAUAUGGACAUAAACAACAAGAGGAGCUUCGGCGACGAGAGGAAGAGAUCCAAGGACUUCACCAUCGAUUAAUAGAAAAUUCAAAAACAAUAUUGACAGCUCAGGUUUGCAAUUUCUUAUGGUUUAUUUUUUGAGAUUAAAGACUAUAUCAGUGUAAAAUUCUAAUCACAAUUUGUCAAAACAUUAAACAAUUGCGUAACUUUCUUUUCAAAUUUUAUAUAAAAUAAUUUUUCACCGACAAUAUAUAGUCUUCAAUUUCUAUUGUUUUUGGGUGUUAAUUCCUUAAACAUAUGAUCAAGAAUCUCAAUUUGUAAUAUAU
rnacentral:lncRNA from 1 species